rnacentral:rRNA from 1 species
UGGGGAAUAUUGCACAAUGGGCGCAAGCCUGAUGCAGCCAUGCCGCGUGUAUGAAGAAGGCCUUCGGGUUGUAAAGUACUUUCAGCGAGGAGGAAGGCGCUGUAGUUAAUAACUGCAGCGAUUGACGUUACUCGCAGAAGAAGCACCGGCUAACUCCGUGCCAGCAGCCGCGGUAAUACGGAGGGUGCAAGCGUUAAUCGGAAUUACUGGGCGUAAAGCGCACGCAGGCGGUCUGUCAAGUCGGAUGUGAAAUCCCCGGGCUCAACCUGGGAACUGCAUCCGAAACUGGCAGGCUAGAGUCUUGUAGA